AGAUUGCUGCAGUGACGCGUGAGACAGCACUGUCCCUGAGGCCGAUGAUCUAUCGCUAGGGAGCUGUCCCUGGCCGGACCGUGGUUCGGUUACAUGGCACCCACCUGUUUAACAGGGCCUAGCGGAUAUUCCCGUCCACGGCACAGGUGGCGUCUU
rnacentral:other from 1 species